AUCCGUUGCUGAAGGACUUUGCCACAUACCUGGAGAAAGACCUCCAAAAUGAAAAUUACAAACAGGAGGUUGACAACGUUGCUCGUUUCCUGUACUACGCGGACCCACAGGCCCCAUCCCUGGAGUUCGUCAGGAACAGGGAAAAGAUCUCGCAGUACCUCCGUGAGCUCUCUGAGGCAAAGCUGACAAAGCAAACUCAGCAGAAUUAUCUCAAGAGCUUGAAAAGAUUCCUGUCGUACCAUACAA